CUGGGAGGCACAGCGCCCGUGUGCUGGAGGCGAGUUGGCUCCGGGUGGGGGAGGCUGGGGUUCCAAACCAGGGCAGGGGAAUGGUGGCCCUGCGUGGCUCGUGGACCUCUCUCAGGGACCCCUCUCAGCAGGGGCCGGAAAAGCAGGCCCACACCCAGUGGUCAUUGCAGGAACUUCACUUGAGCUGGUCUGCUUGUGAGCCUGUGGUUUGGAGAGGAGAAGACGCACUUCCCCAUGAGAAAAAGGUAUUGCUAUUGCCCUAAUUUCUCAGAGAAGUAAACUGAGGCUGAGAGCAGUCCGGGGGUUUGUUGGAGGCCACAGAACCGGUUAGAAGAGGCGUGGAUUAGGAUGCAGGGAGUGAAACUUCCGUGCAUGGCAGAGCCUCAUGACAGAAGGAGCCUGGCUCCUUGAAAGACCGGGUGGAGAGAGCUGCUCACAGGUUGGAGCACUGCCCAAGAUGUUACAUGAGCAAGAAAUAAACUUCCGUGGUGUUUAGUCACUGCAUUUGGGUCUAUUUGUUACUGCACCUUAGCCUAUGCUAACAAUUAUAGAGUCUGC
rnacentral:lncRNA from 1 species